rnacentral:rRNA from 1 species
UACGGAGGAUGCAAGCGUUAUCCGGAAUGAUUGGGCGUAAAGCGUCCGCAGGUGGCUAUGUAAGUCUGCUGUUAAAUAGUGAGGCUCAACCUCAUAAAGGCAAUGGAAACUGAGAGACUUGAGUGCGGUAGGGGUAGAGGGAAUUCCCAGUGUAGCGGUGAAAUGCGUAGAUAUUGGGAAGAACACCGGUGGCGAAAGCGCUCUGCUAGGCCGCAACUGACACUGAGGGACGAAAGCUAGGGGAGCGAAUGGG